GAGGUUGUAGCUCAGUAGUAGAGUGCUUGCCUUGCAUGCAUGAGGCCCUGGGUUCGAUCCCCAGCACCACA
rnacentral:tRNA from 1 species